GACGAACGCUGGCGGCGUGCUUAACACAUGCAAGUCGAACGGAAAGGCCCUGCUUUUGUGGGGUGCUCGAGUGGCGAACGGGUGAGUAACACGUGAGUAACCUGCCCUUGACUUUGGGAUAACUUCAGGAAACUGGGGCUAAUACCGGAUAGGAGCUCCUGCUGCAUGGGGGGGGUUGGAAAGUUUCGGCGGUUGGGGAUGGACUCGCGGCUUAUCAGCUUGUUGGUGGGGUAGUGGCUUACCAAGGCUUUGACGGGUAGCCGGCCUGAGAGGGUGACCGGCCACAUUGCGACUGCGAUACGGCCCAGACUCCUACGGGAGGCAGCAGUGGGGAGUAUUGCACAAUGGGCGGAAGCCUGAUGCAGCAACGCCGCGUGCGGGAUGACGGCCUUCGGGUUGUAAACCGCUUUCGCCUGUGACGAAGCGUGAGUGACGGUAAUGGGUAAAGAAGCACCGGCUAACUACGUG
rnacentral:rRNA from 1 species